rnacentral:rRNA from 1 species
GAGUUUGAUCGUGGCUCAGGACGAACGCUGGCGGCGUGCUUAACACAUGCAAGUCGUACGAGAAAGUUCCCUUUCGGGGGAUGAGUACAGUGGCGCACGGGUGAGUAACGCGUAAGUAAUCUGCCCCUUGGUCUGGCAUAACUCCGGGGAAACCGGGGCUAAUAGCAGAUGAUAUCGUAAGAUCAAAGCCUUCGGGCGGCCAAGGGAUGAGCUUGCGUCCCAUUAGCUAGUUGGCGGGGUAACAGCCCACCAAGGCGACGAUGGGUAGCUGGUCUGAGAGGAUGAUCAGCCACAUUGGGACUGAGACACGGCCCAGACUCCUACGGGAGGCAGGCAGUGAGGAAUAGUUGCGCAAUGGACGAAAGGUCCUGGACGCAGCAACGCCGCGUGCAGGAUGAACGGCCCUCUGGGUUGUAAAGUUCUUUUAGUAGGGAAGAAAUGACGGUACUACAGAAAAAGCUCCGGCUAACUUCGUGCCAGCAG